AAAAUAAUAAUAACAAUAAUAAUUCUAAUGUAGCUUAUCUUGUUGUUUCUAAGGAAAAUGUGCACAGUACCUGGCCAUAAAUUAUACGAAUUGGAUUUGGGUUGAAAUCAUUUAAGGAAAAAAUGUUUGUGACUGAGGAGGGAUCAUUAUGCCUAGUUAAACCUGUUUGUUUUAUUUUCUUGUUAACUGAGUGAAGCAGUAGCAUCAGAAUUUGUCUCCCAGCUUGCUGUCUUGCUGUGUGUUAAAAUUGUGCUUUGU
rnacentral:misc_RNA from 1 species